rnacentral:rRNA from 1 species
UACGUAGGGGGCAAGCGUUGUCCGGAUUUAUUGGGCGUAAAGGGUGCGCAGGCGGCCAAGUGUGUUAGGCGUGAAAGCCCGGGGCUUAACCCCGGAAUUGCACCUAAAACUACUUGGCUAGAGCAUUGGAGAGGGUAGCGGAAUUCACGGUGUAGCAGUGAAAUGCGUAGAUAUCGUGAGGAACACCAGAGGCGAAGGCGGCUACCUGGACAAUUGCUGACGCUCAGGCACGAAAGCGUGGGGAGCAAAAGGG